GCCAGUAGUCAUAUGCUUGUCUCAAAGAUUAAGCCAUGCAUGUCUAAGUACGCACGGCCGGUACAGUGAAACUGCGAAUGGCUCAUUAAAUCAGUUAUCGUUUAUUUGAUAGUACCUUACUACUUGGAUAACCGUGGUAAUUCUAGAGCUAAUACAUGCUAAAAACCCCAACUUCGGAAGGGGUGUAUUUAUUAGAUAAAAAACCAAC
rnacentral:ribozyme from 1 species